ensembl:misc_RNA Metazoa_SRP Metazoan signal recognition particle RNA
GCUGGGCACGGUGGCGCGUGCCUGUAGUCUCAGCUCUCAGGAGGCUGAGGCAGGAGAAUUGCUUGAGCCUAGGAGGUUGAGACUGCAGUAAGCCAUGACUGUGGCCACGGCACUCCAGCCUAGGAGACAGAGCAAGACCUUGUCUCUA